GGGGGGAGUCCGGUUCCUGGGCUGUGUCCCCCGUGCCCUGUGCUCCCGGGGCCUGGCUGUUGGAUUCGUGCUCCCCGCAGGGCAGCCCCCU
rnacentral:pre_miRNA from 1 species